rnacentral:tRNA from 1 species
GCCAGAGUGGUGAAACUGGUAAACAUGCACGGUUCAGAGCCGUGUGCCGCAAGGUUUGAGGGUUCGAGUCCCUCCUCUGGCACCA